CUACGGGUUGCUGCAGUGAGGAAUAUUGCACAAUGGGGGGAACCCUGAUGCAGCAACGCCGCGUGGAGGAUGGCGCAUUUCGGUGUGUAAACUCCUUUUAUAUGUCAAGAAAAUGACGGUAGCAUAUGAAUAAGCACCGGCUAACUCCGUGCCAGCAGCCGCGGUAAUACGGAGGGUGCAAGCGUUACUCGGAAUCACUGGGCGUAAAGGACGCGUAGGCGGGUUGGAAAGUCAGGUGUGAAAUCCUACAGCUUAACUGUAGAACUGCACUUGAAACUUCUAAUCUAGAGUAUGGGAGGGGGAGAUGGAAUUAGUGGUGUAGGGGUAAAAUCCGUAGAUAUCACUAGGAAUACCUAAAGCGAAGGCGAUCUCCUGGAACGUUACUGACGCUAAGGCGUGAAAGCGUGGGGAGCAAACAGGAUUAGAUACCCUUGUAGUC
rnacentral:rRNA from 1 species